rnacentral:rRNA from 1 species
AACGAACGCUGGCGGCAGGCUUAACACAUGCAAGUCGAACGCCCCGCAAGGGGAGUGGCAGACGGGUGAGUAACGCGUGGGAACAUACCCUUUUCUACGGAAUAGCUCUGGGAAACUGGAAUUAAUACCGUAUACGCCCUACGGGGGAAAGAUUUAUCGGGGAAGGAUUGGCCCGCGUUGGAUUAGCUAGUUGGUGGGGUAAAGGCCUACCAAGGCGACGAUCCAUAGCUGGUCUGAGAGGAUGAUCAGCCACAUUGGGACUGAGACACGGCCCAAACUCCUACGGGAGGCAGCAGUGGGGAAUAUUGGACAAUGGGCGCAAGCCUGAUCCAGCCAUGCCGCGUGAGUGAUGAAGGCCUUAGGGUUGUAAAGCUCUUUCACCGGAGAAGAUAAUGACGGUAUCCGGAGAAGAAGCCCCGGCUAACUUCGUGCCAGCAGCCGCGGUAAAAC